rnacentral:lncRNA from 1 species
GCAUUCUACCCCAAAACAGUCUACUUGCAUCCCCAGCCCGAAUCUACCUGCGACCUUUGCCGAAUCUGCUUGCGUCCCCUAUCGCAAGCUAUUCCGUCCUUUUGAAACGCGUUACCCGCGCCAUCUUGCGAUCGCUACCGGGACGAAUCGAAUGCGAUCGCGUGAGGCAUAAGUCACUCCCCCACUGAAUUUGACGAUGCACUCAUCGCCAUAUAUCGCUGAAGCAUAGACCUUGUUUGCCAUAAGUCUAUCUCGUUUUCCCACCUUGUGCCAUGACAUUCCUGUGUCAUGCCAAGUUUCAAGUCAUGACCUUGCGAUCCGUGACAUUCUCCCCCACUCAAUUCGCUAACGUCCUCGUAGCGAAACGUGUUCGGUGCAUCCUCAUGCAACCUUGCAUUGUCUUUCACGUCCAUGGGCAUCAAAGUUCUCCCAACUUGCGGCACCAUCUCCUCGAUGACCGGUUUUCCACAGUGCCCCUUGCACCUCUCCCCGUUGCAACCUCUUGCAUGCCACUUUCGACACCAACCUUCACCCUCAGUACCUCUGCCUUGGUUCCUCGGAUGGACAACUCCUCUGGUCGUAGUGUCCCCACACUUGUCGAAGCUUUGAACCUUUGUGCACCCAAUUUUGAACUUCUUUGACAAUGCUUCCCCACUUUCCUCCUCUUUCAAUAGUUCCCUCGGCAACUCCGCGAGCAUGUCCUUAUCAUCUUCAAGGACUUCCGCUAACUGCAUCCCUGACAAUUGUUGUGUUUCCAUCUCCACAGAAACAGUUUCAGCACUCAUAGCAUUAAACAGCUGGAAUGAAUUCAUUCGAACUUCAUCCUCAUCUUGGCUAUCCAUAGCCUUCGAUUUGCUCUCUGAAAUGGAAAUAGAUGCCAAUGAUCCCAACUCAGGACAAUCCCUCAUGAGAUGUGGUCCUUUGCAAAUAAAGCAACCUUGAGGUGUAAAAUUACUCCUCUUCUUCUCCUCAUACUGCUUAUUCCAAGUAGUUGGUUUAUUGCCAUCGGGUUUGUAAUCAACUUUGGGAUUUGGCCUCCAAUCAGGCUUACUCCAUUGCAUAGCUUUCCCUGUAUCUUCAUUAUUAUUCACAAAAUUUCCUUUGGCGGGUUUGAUAGUUUGAGCUUCGGUCUCAAAACUUUCUUCAAACUCUGUCAAGGAUUCGGCUACUGCAAUUGCCUCAUCAACGGUUUUGACAUCACGACGUUGGAACUCUUGUCGUAUCCAUGUUGCACAACCGUCUAGAAAAUAGAAUAGCAACUCAUCCUCCGGCAUGGUUGGGAUUUGAAGCAUAAGGGUCGUGAACUCUUUGACAUAGUCACGAAUUGUUCCCAUAUGUUUCAAUUCCCUCAAUUUCUUGCGCGCCUCAUAGACGACAUUCUCCGGGUAGAAUUGCCUCUUUAUUUCCCUUUUGAACUCAUCCCAAGUAUCAACUGUACAAGUCCCCCUUGCAAUUUCGCCAUGCUUACGACGCCACCACAACGCCGCAAUAUCCGAGAGAUACAUAGAAACUGUCCGAACUUUCAUGGCUUCAUCAACAAGAUUUACACCUUCAAAGUAGACUUCCAUUUGCCAUAGGAAGUUUUCCACAUCUUUGGCAUCCCGUCGCCCAUCAUAAGUUUUAGGUUUCGGGUAUUCAAUCCUCGGGGCAACAAUACUUGAAACGGCACCUCCGCUUGUACCGGCAGUAAGUUGCUUGUAUUGAUCAAGCUCCUUACUCAUUCUCUCCAUCAUCACGGCCAAUUGGUUAACUUGGCCUUGCAUAGCGGUAACGGCGUCAAAGACUUUAGUUUGGAGACGACCAAAAUCAUCCAUCACCGCGGCUUGUCCGGCUACCACAGCUCGAACAUCAUUUUUCAUCAUUUGGACAUCAUCCCCCAAUGAUGCCUGUGUGUCCAUUACCUCUUGGACAUUAAUUUGUAGAGUUUCUAUCUUUCCAAUGGCGUGUCCCUCCAACGCCUCGAAUGAGCUUUCAAGAGAUUGGACCCGAUCACCCAUAUGUGAGAUGAUUUGGUCAAGUUUCCCUUCCAUGUUUUUGGUGGUUUCCCUCACCUUACUUUUUCCUCUAGUUUUUCUUACUUCAGUUUGGGCAGCACCUCGGCCCCUCUCCUCAAUCUCAAUAUCAACAGUUUCUUGAGAUUCCGCCAUUUGAGCACCUCACCCAAAUCUAACUUCCAAGAAUCUCCGACGAAUCUGGCUACCACAGCCGCACUUGGUUACCACAACCAAACCUUCGCCUUGAACUGCCUCCGUAAUGAGACAAAGUUCAUCGUAAUCCUAGCACUAAAAUUAUUUAGUGACUUGUAAUGUCGAAAUUAAAUAAAUAAAAGUGGACAGCACCAAUAAAUUGAGGGAAUAUAAUUAAUUACCCUAAGCGUGUUGUCACGGGCCUAGUUUCGUUACACCCGAAUAAACUAGAACCGUGCGGCCUUAACGUUCUACAAUUCCCACACCUCACGAGAAAACGUUAAGUCAGCCUUUCCACGCCCACAAAUAAUUUAACCAAUGAUGCUAAAUUAUACCCACGUUGAGAAGAGAAUUUUGAAGUAAGUAAUAUAUGGAAAACAAGUAAGGAUUGGGGAAACUUUCUUUAUAUAAAUGAAAGGAAAAACUUUACAAUCUCUCUUGAAAGAAUAAACUCACUCACUCUACAUUCUCUCCAUUCUCUAACCUCUACUCCAUACCUACCUCUCAUUUACAAAUGACACUACCUCUCUAUUUAUAGAAAACUUAAACCUCCUUAACCUUCCACUUUACAACUCGUGCUUGGUUGUCGCCACCUCGUGCUUGGUUGUCGCCAACUCAUUCUUAGUUGUCUUCAAGUGGGUGGUAUUACAACUUGCCUUGCAAGUUGUCGCCAACUCGUGCCUAGCUUGCAUACAACUCGCGCCUAGCUUGCACCGUUGAUAUUUAUCCUUGCCAACUCGUGCUUAGCUUGCAUACAACUCGCGCUUAGCUUGCAAGUGGCACACAAGUGGACAAGUUGUGCAAGUUGCCCACUUGCAUCCUCAAAAUAUCCGGCUGCAGGUCCAUAUAUUUUUCCUCCCAAAAUGGCUGGGUCGAGACUUAGAAAAACCUCAUUAACGCCCUGGAAAACUGCACAAUCUAGGCAGCAUGCAUUCUACCCCAAAACAGUCUACUUGCAUCCCCAGCCCGAAUCUACCUGCGACCUUUGCCGAAUCUGCUUGCGUCCCCUAUCGCAAGCUAUUCCGUCCUUUUGAAACGCGUUACCCGCGCCAUCUUGCGAUCGCUACCGGGACGAAUCGAAUGCGAUCGCGUGAGGCAUAAGUCACUCCCCCACUGAAUUUGACGAUGCACUCAUCGCCAUAUAUCGCUGAAGCAUAGACCUUAUUUGCCAUAAGUCUAUCUCGUUUUCCCACCUUGUGCCAUGACAUUCCCGUGUCAUGCCAAGUUUCAAGUCAUGACCUUGCGAUC